CUUUUCCUCUCCUUUGUUUAUAUCCAAUAGCUUGAGAGCGAGUGGCAAGUAGUGUGCAAUGACUGAAUAUUGCUACAGUAUUUACCUCUAGAUCUAUUCUUUUUCCUACUUAUUGUUUGGUAAGGUUAUUUUCUCUCUGCUUUUAUGUUCAGAAUCAUAGCAUAAGGCCAUAAUGCAGCCAACUAACUGACUUUGGAGGGCAGAUUUAUGUUCCAAAUGGAUAUGUACUAUUAUUGGUCGGCUGCAGUAUUAUAGCACCACAUCAAAUUCAAGUAGGCGGCAAUAGAAUAGAUUUGUUAACAUUCUACCCAAUGAUUUUGGAACAUACGUACGGUGGUCACGCAGUUCAUUCAAUCAAAGGUGUAUUCAAGAAUUUCUUUGUUAAAAGACACAGACCAAACGCUUUAUCAUAGACUGGAGAAUCUUUUUCAAGAAUGCUUCAAGUAAGACCUGUAUGUGUAGUUUGAGUUGUGUGAUAGUCAGCCUGCUCAAAUGCCUCCUCAGUUCGCGAGAAUUUUCGUGUGCCAUACCUGAAUUCUAAGCCUUCACAUGUCAUCAUUAUAAUCCCAUAUUUGAGAGUACUCUUCCUAUUUGCUAUGUCUGCUUACUAUGCUAAUUGAGAUUCUAAUUAAAGUUGCAAUAUAGAUAUAUUUUAGUUCACUACUGUGGCGACUGUGAUCAAAAGUUGCAGUACAGCUAUAUUUUACUUCACUUCUCUUUCAAUGAUUGGACAUUAAUUUCUCCUUAUUCAUUGAACUUUUUUACAGAUGACACUCAGUUUGUAGGGUUUACAGUUCCCGUGCAUAAGGCAAAGCUGUUACUGAAGUAAAUAUACGAAUCAUUCUUCUAGGUUUACUCCGGUGAGCCAACAAAUAAAGUGACCGAUGCAACCUGAAGCUGCACCGGCAAACCAGCAAGCUCCUUCACUUGACAGGGGAAAACAAAAUAUUUGUUCUUCUUUGCAAAAUAAUAUGUAUAAAUGAUCAGUGAGGUAGCGCUUGCCGAUGAAAUCAAGUUCUUGCUACCGUUGUUGAUAUAACCAUACUAUUUUUUCUGUUUAAUCACAGAGUCCUACUUGAUAAAAAAACUUACGGGUAACAACAGUUGUACACACCAUAUUCCGACAGGAAUAAAAUAUCAACAGUAAUGAAGAAGGUGAUAAAUUAAUUGGGAUCUUCCGUUCAACAUGGUGGAGCUGGCGUACAACAUCUGAUACGGGCUCUCUUUCCCUACAAUUUUAUCUGUCGACAACCAUGUUCUCCUCUUCUCCGGCUAAAGGGAUACUUGCAGCCUAGACUCCCCUACAAAUCAAAAUAGAGGAGUUCAGGCCGAAGAUCAAAUAAAAUGCACAUAUCAGGUGUGCCACCGAGGAGCCAUUUUAAUCGGAACUCAACACCGAAACCAUUCGAGCCAUCUAUGCUAGCCUAGGCAUGGAAAUCAUCCUCCUUUCCCGUGACAAUGAAGAUGUGACUUUGGUAAAUACAGAUUGCUCCCAAGUAGAAAUAAUCCAGAAGGUUGUCCAAGAAUAAUGUUCUAUGUUUUUAGGCCCCGGUUAGCAAGUGUGUUGUGAAUAGUAUGAAAUACAGGGAUUGCACAGUCUGCUUUAUCUUCGAUGGUGUAAUG